GGCCUGGUAGCUCACUGGUAGAGCGCCGCCCUGUCGAGGCGGAUGCCGCGGGUUCGAUUCCCGUCCGGGUCG
rnacentral:tRNA from 2 species